AGUGAACGCUGGCGGUAGGCCUAACACAUGCAAGUCGAACGGCAGCACAGUAAGAGCUUGCUCUUACGGGUGGCGAGUGGCGGACGGGUGAGGAAUACAUCGGAAUCUACUUUUUCGUGGGGGAUAACGUAGGGAAACUUACGCUAUAACGCAAACUACCUAACGGUGAAAGCCAGGGGUCUUUGGACCUUUUGCGGUUGAAUGAAGCGAUGUCGGAUUAGCUAGUUGGCGGGGUAAAGGCCCACCAAGGCGACGAUCCGUAGCCGGUCUGAGAGGAUGAUCGGCCACACUGGAACUGAGACACGGUCCAGACUCCUACGGGAGGCAGCAGUGGGGAAUAUUGGGCAAUGGGCGCAAGCCUGAUGCAGCCAUACCGCGUGGGUGAAGAAGGCCUUCGGGUUGUAAAGCCCUUUUGUUGGGAAAGAAAAGCAGCAGGUUAAUACCCCGCUGUUCUGACGGUACCCAAAGAAUAAGCACCGGCUAACUUCGUG
rnacentral:rRNA from 1 species